UUGUGGGGACGGAGAAGGUUAGGUCAGCCGGGUGUUGGACGUCCCGGUUUAAGCGUGUAGGCGUGCCCCUUAGGCAAAUCCGGGGGGCUGAGCUGAGGCGUGAUGACGAGGAACCACGGUUCCGAAGUGAUUGAUACCAAGCUUCCAGGAAAAGCCACUAAGCUUCAGUCUAGAGUUGACCGUACCGCAAACCGACACAGGUGGGCAGGAUGAAAAUUCUAAGGCGCUUGAGAGAACUCAGGAGAAGGAACUCGGCAAAUUAACACCGUAACUUCGGGAGAAGGUGUGCCCCGGUAGCGUGUAGAGACUUGCUCUCGAAGCGCGAUGGGGUUGCAGUGAAAUGGUGGCUGCGACUGUUUAAUAAAAACACAGCACUCUGCAAACACGAAAGUGGACGUAUAGGGUGUGACGCCUGCCCGGUGCCGGAAGGUUAAGUGAUGGGGUGCAAGCUCUUGAUCGAAGCCCCGGUAAACGGCGGCCGUAACAAUAACGGUCCUAAGGUAGCGAAAUUCCUUGUCGGGUAAGUUCCGACCUGCACGAAUGGCGUAACGAUGGCCACACUGUCUCCUCCUGGGACUCAGCGAAGUUGAAAUGUUUGUGAAGAUGCAAUCUACCCGCGGCUAGACGGAAAGACCCCAUGAACCUUUACUGUAGCUUUGCAUUGGACUUUGAACCGGUUUGUGUAGGAUAGGUGGGAGACUGUGAAGCCGGGACGCUAGUUCCGGUGGAGUCAACCUUGAAAUACCACCCUGAUUUGUUUGAGGUUCUAACCUUGGUCCGUGAAUCCGGAUCGGGGACCGUGCAUGGUAGGCAGUUUGACUGGGGCGGUCUCCUCCCAAAAGGUAACGGAGGAGUACGAAGGUACGCUUAGGGCGGUCGGACAUCGCCCACAAAGUGCAAUGGCAAAAGCGUGCUUGACUGCGAGACCCACAAGUCGAGCAGGUACGAAAGUAGGUCAUAGUGAUCCGGUGGUUCUGUAUGGAAGGGCCAUCGUUCAACGGAUAAAAGGUACUCUGGGGAUAACAGGCUAAUUCCUCCCAAGAGUUCAUAUCGACGGGGGAGUUUGGCACCUCGAUGUCGGCUCAUCACAUCCUGGGGCUGUAGUCGGUCCCAAGGGUAUGGCUGUUCGCCAUUUAAAGUGGUACGCGAGCUGGGUUUAAAACGUCGUGAGACAGUUUGGUCCCUAUCUGCCGUGGGCGCUGGAAAUUUGAAGGGGGCUGCUCCUAGUACGAGAGGACCGGAGUGGACGAACCUCUGGUGUACCGGUUAUGACGCCAGUCGUAUCGCCGGGUAGCUAAGUUCGGAAGAGAUAAACGCUGAAAGCAUCUAAGCGUGAAACUCGCCUUAAGAUAAGAUUUCCCGGAGUCUUGAACUCCCUGAAGGGUCGUCGAAGACCACGACGUUGAUAGGUCAGGUGUGGAAGCGCAGCAAUGCGUUAAGCUAACUGAUACUAAUUGCC
rnacentral:rRNA from 1 species